GAUCCUGGCUCAGGAUGAACGCUAGCGACAGGCUUAACACAUGCAAGUCGAGGGGCAGCACGGGGUAGCAAUACCCCGGUGGCGACCGGCGCACGGGUGAGUAACACGUGUGCAACCAACCCCGUACCGGGAGAUAACCCGCGGAAACGUGGAUUAACACCCCAUAACACCUUUCCCCCGCAUGGGGGGGAGUUUAAAACCCCGGUGGUACGGGACGGGCACGCGCGACAUUAGGUAGUUGGCGGGGUAACGGCCCACCAAGCCGACGAUGUCUAGGGGUU
rnacentral:rRNA from 1 species